CAGUCGUACCUGCGGGCAAUCAGCCUUUUGGGUGUGAUUAUGUGGAGCGUGAGGAGUUAAUCACCCUUAUCUUUUCAUAUUCGUGCACUUUGGGUGUACUUGCCCGUGUGUAAGUUAACAUCAAUUUUGGUGGUCAUAAAAUGGCUGGAGGAAUGUAGCUUCGAUCUCGUAUUGAAGUGUUAUAGCCUUCGGUAGAUGUGAUGAUCGGGAUUGAGGUAUUGCAACGGAUACCCGUUCGGGGCUACCUGUCUGGUCUCUGA
rnacentral:rRNA from 1 species